UGAGAGAUUGCCUGUAAUUUCAGCC
rnacentral:piRNA from 1 species